rnacentral:misc_RNA from 1 species
GGAGGGAUCAUUAACGAAAGGUCGCAAGACCUAGACCCUUCAAACCUGUGGAAGCGAGACGUGCUUCGGCAGAGUCGCUCUCGGCCUGCCGCAUUUAUGCUGUCUGGUGUUUGUGUCUGAAUUUCGAAAAGAAUCAAAACUUUCAACAAAGGAUCUCUUGGCUCUCGCAUCGAUGAAGAACGCAGCGAAGCGCGAAAUGUAGUGUGAAUCGCAGAACAUUGUGAAUCAUCGAAUCUUUGAACGCACAUUGCGCCUCUCCUCUCGGGGAGGCAUGCCUGUCUGAGCGUCAUUUAAACCAUGGACCCGCCCUCGGGUUCCGUGCUGGGUCUCGCCCUCCUCUGGCGUCUCCUCAAAGUCAUCGGUCUACACGAGCGGACGAAAUCCUUCAGGACUGACCGUUCGUCGUACUUUAAAUCUCCAGAAUUGACCUCAGAUCAGGUAGGACUACCGCCUGAACUUAAGCAUAUCAAUAAGGCGAGGAACAGAAACCAACAGGGAUUCCCCCAGUAGUGGCGAAUGAAGCGGGAAAAGCUCAAGUUUGAAAUCUGAGAGGCUUGUCCGAUCAGAGUUGUAAGCUGAAGAGGCGUCGGCCGAUGGGGUCCGGGCCCAAUUCUCUUGGAACAGAGAGUCAUGGAGGGUGAGAACCCCGUAAAUGGCUCGGAUACCCCGUCCUAGUGUCGUGUCCUCGAAGAGUCGGGUUGUUUGGGAAUGCAGCUCAAAAUGGGUGGUAAAUUUCAUCUAAGGCUAAAUAUUGGCGAGAGACCGAUAGCGAACAAGUAGAGUGAUCGAAAGAUGAAAAGUACUUUGAAAAGAGAGUGAAACAGUACGUGAAAUUGUUGAAAGGGAAGCGUUUGGCAUCAGCCCAUGGCCGUCGUCGAUCAUCCAGGCUUCUGUCUGGUGCACUCGUCGGCGGUCGGGCCAGCGUCGGCUCCGCCUGCCGGAUAAAGGCCUUGGGAAUGUGCCUCCCUUCGGGGAGGGUUAUAGCCCUCGGCGUCAUGCGGCACGGCGGGGCCGAGGUCCGCGGUUCUUCCUAGGACGCUGGCGUAAUGGUUCCAAGCGACCCGUCUUGAAACACGGACCAAGGAGUCUAACAUCUAUGCGAGUGUUUGGGUGUCAAGCCCGUCCGCGCAAUGAAAGUGAAUGCAGGCGGGAGCCUUUAGAGGGUGCACCGUCGACCGGUCCGGGGGUUUACCGAAGGAUCUGAGUAAGAGCAUAGCUGUUGGGACCCGAAAGAUGGUGAACUAUGCCUGAAUAGGGUGAGGCCAGAGGAAACUCUGGUGGAGGCUCGAAGCGGUUCUGACGUGCAAAUCGAUCGUCGAAUUUGGGUAUAGUGGCGAAAGACUAAUCGAACCAUCUAGUAGCUGGUUCCUGC